rnacentral:snoRNA from 1 species
GCAUAGAUUUGGACUUAUGGCAGGCUCGUCCCCAUGGGCCUCUCAUAGUGUCCCAUGCUAGAGUAAACUGUGGCUCCUAACCAUUGUCUAGCCUCCGUCCCUGUAGGCUGCUGGCCCUGAAGUGGGUCACAUAGUG